CUUAUAAAGGUAAACAAGUUUCAAGCAGCUAAGUAAGCGAUUGAAGGUUCUGGAAGAAGAAACUGAAACUAUGAAGCAAUAAUUUUUCUAGCACAUGGAAGAAAGAAAAAAUCUGGUGGCUUAAAUAUACCAACAGUUUCAGACAAGACACUAUUGUCUCCAAUAUGAAAUCAAAUAGUACAUGAAAAGAGAUCACCUCGUGAUGGAUCUUCGAUUGUCAGAUUUCUCAAGGGUUAUCUUGGCAGAAGUUCUAUGCCGAAAAUAAAGUCCAUGCAUUGUCUGAAGAGGACACGAAACGAAUAAGAAAGCUGCUGAUACAAUGCAUUCUUUCAGAAAAUGAAUGACAGGGCUGUCUAGAACCACAUAUAACUUAUUGUCCGCUUGAGAGUUUUUGUUGCCAAGGAUUUGUAACUGUUGUGUAAUGUUAGGUUUUCUGUGUUUGAAGAUAUACUUUUUUCCGAGAUAGAGAUUAGGUUGCUAUCCCUUUUCUUUCUUUUUUAUUCUUUCCUCCUGUCAAAACUAUGUUGUUUUUAGAGUGAUAAUUAUUUUCUCA